rnacentral:tRNA from 2 species
GCGGGCGUAGUUCAUUGGUAGAAUGUCAGCUUCCCAAGCUAAAGAGGGGGGUUCGAUUCCCCUCGCCCGCUCCA